GUAGUCAUAUGCUUGUCUCAAAGAUUAAGCAUGCAUGUCUAAGUAAUAAUUUACUGUGAACUGCGAAUGGCUCAUUAUAUAAGUAUCGUUUAUUUGAUAGUACCUUACUACAUGGAACCGUGGUAAUUCUAGAGCUAAUACAUGCUAAAAACCUCGACUUCGGAAGAGGUGUGUUUAUUAGAUAAAACCAAUGCCUUCGGGGCUCACUGGCGAUUCAUAAUAACCUCUCGAAUCGCAUGCCUUGCGCCGGCGAUGUUCAUUCAAAUUCUUCCCUAUCAACUUUCGAUGCUAGAGAGUGUUCUAGCAUGUACACGGUAACGGGAAUGGGCGGGGCGCGGGCCGGGCGCGGGCGCGCGGGC
rnacentral:rRNA from 1 species